UACGAAGGGGGCUAGCGUUGUUCGGAUUUACUGGGCGUAAAGCGCACGUAGGCGGAUCGUUAAGUCGGGGGUGAAAUCCUGGAGCUCAACUCCAGAACUGCCUUCGAUACUGGCGAUCUUGAGUCCGGAAGAGGUGAGUGGAACUCCUAGUGUAGAGGUGGAAUUCGUAGAUAUUAGGAAGAACACCAGUGGCGAAGGCGGCUUACUGGUCCGGUACUGACGCUGAGGUGCGAAAGCGUGGGGAGCAAACAGG
rnacentral:rRNA from 1 species